GUCAGCAGCGAUAGCAUCCUGAAUGCACAAGUUCCCAAUGGAUCACUGAAGUUGAACAAAAUUGCGUUUGGUUAGUAUCCGGAUGGGUGACCAUCUGGGUAUUGUCGUGCUGCUGGCC
rnacentral:rRNA from 1 species